UCUGUUCCAUUUUUCUCAUUUGGGCAUUGUUUCUUGAUUGGGGUUUGUUGCGGCGAUAUGUAGCUGCGGAUGAUGGUGGGGUGGUGAAAAGGGAAGGGUUUGAGAUUAUAAUUGGCGGUGGCUAUAGUCCACCUCCUGAGUAUGAAGAAGGCUGUCCACCUCCCCCUCCUGAGCCUGAAUGCCCCCCACCUCCACCUCCAUCUCCACCUCCACCUCCACCUCCAUCUCCACCUCCACCUCCAUCUCCACCUCCACCUCCACCUCCAUCUCCACCUCCACCUCCAUCUCCACCUCCACCUCCACCUCCAUCUCCACCUCCACCCCCUCCUCCACCCCCUCCUCCUCCUCCUCCUCCACCUCCUCCUCCUCCUCCGCCUCCGCCUCCUCCUCCUCCACCAGUCGAUCGCAAUGCGAGACUUAAAAUUGCUCUAAAAGCAAUCAGGAUAUUCCAAGCCAAAAUCACGGUAGAUCCUUUUAAUAUCGCCAAGGGAUGGAAGGGCAACAAUCCUUGCAAAUUCAAGGGCUUCGUCUGCAGUACUGUCCCGGACAAGAACCUGAACGCAGUCGCCGGAGUAGACUUCAAUGGCUUUAACUUCGGAGGCCCCAACCUCGCUCUUGACGGCUUCCUUAACGGGUUACCAGACAUAACCAUCUUCCACGCCAAUUCCAACGACUUCAACGGUCGCAUCCCCAAAAUUGACACUACAAAACUCCGAUACCUUUACGAGCUGGACUUGAGCAACAACAAGCUACAUGGUGAGUUCCCAUACGAAGUCCUCGCCGCCAAGCAGCUCACCUUCCUGGACCUCCGGUUCAACUCAUUCUCUGGCGUGGUUCCGCCGCACGUCUUCAUACUAGAUGUGGACGUUAUUUUCAUAAAUGACAACAAUUUCAUACAGCAGCUCCCGGAAAAUAUAGGGGACACGCCAGCCCUUUACCUCACUUUUGCCAAUAACAAGUUUACAGGCCCCAUCCCACGCAGCAUCGGCCGAUCCAAAAACCUUCUCGAGGUCCUUUUC
rnacentral:lncRNA from 1 species